rnacentral:rRNA from 1 species
UACGGAGGGUGCAAACGUUGCUCGGAAUCAUUGGGCGUAAAGCGCACGUAGGCGGUCUCUUAAGUCGGGUGUGAAAGCCCACGGCUCAACCGUGGAAGUGCAUUCGAAACUGAGAGGCUUGAGUACGGAAGAGGGUCUCGGAAUUCCCGGUGUAGAGGUGAAAUUCGUAGAUAUCGGGAGGAACACCAGUGGCGAAGGCGGAGACCUGGGCCGAUACUGACGCUGAGGUGCGAAAGCGUGGGGAGCAAACAGG